CACCGGCUAACUCCGUGCCAGCAGCCGCGGUAAUACGGAGGGUGCGAGCGUUAAUCGGAAUUACUGGGCGUAAAGGGUGCGUAGGUGGUUGAUUAAGUUAUCUGUGAAAUUCCUGGGCUUAACCUGGGACGGUCAGAUAAUACUGGUUGACUCGAGUAUGGGAGAGGGUAGUGGAAUUUCCGGUGUAGCGGUGAAAUGCGUAGAGAUCGGAAGGAACACCAGUGGCGAAGGCGGCUACCUGGCCYAAUACUGACACUGAGGCACGAAAGCGUGGGGAGCAAACAGGAU
rnacentral:rRNA from 1 species